rnacentral:rRNA from 1 species
AGAGUUUGAUUCUGGCUCAGAGCGAACGCUGGCAGCGUGGAUUAGGCAUGCAAGUCGAACGGGAAGCUUUAAAUUCAAGUUUUCGGACGAGAAUUUGAGGUGAAUAGUGGCGAAAGGGUGAGUAACGCGUGGGUAACCUACCUCGAAGUUGGGGACAACCCCGGGAAACCGGGGCUAAUACCGGAUGUGAUUCUCUGAUGCAUAUCAGGGGGAUUAAAGGUGGGUCUUCGGAUCUGCCGCUUUGAGAGGGGCCCGCGUACCAUCAGCUUGUUGGUGAGGUAAUGGCUCACCAAGGCUUACGGUUAGCCGGCCUGAGAGGGUGAUCGGCCACACUGGGACUGAGACACUGCCCAGACUCCUACGGGAGGCUGCAGUCGAGGAUCAUUGACAAUGCGCGAAAGCGUGAUCAUGCGACGCUGCGUGGAGGAUGACGGCCUUCGGGUUGUAAACUCCUGUCAUUCGGGAAAAAUUGUACGAGAGUUAAUACCUCUUGUAUUUGAUGGUACCGGAAGAGGAAGCCACGGCUAACUCUGAGCCAGCAGCCGCGGUAAUACAGAGGUGGCGAGCGUUGUUCGGAUUUACUGGGCGUAAAGCGUAUGUAGGUGGUUUUGUAUGUCGGAUGUGAAAGCCCAUGGCUCAACUGUGGAACUGCAUCCGAAACUGCAUAACUAGAGUACAGGAGAGGAGAGCGGAAUUCUUGGUGUAGCGGUGAAAUGCGUUGAUAUCAAGAAGAACACCGGUGGCGAAGGCGGCUCUCUGGAGUGUUACUGACACUGAGGUACGAAAGUUGGGGGAGCAAACAGGAUUAGAUACCCUGGUAGUCCCAACCGUAAACGGUGUGCACUUGGUGUGGGGGGAAUUGACCCCUCCCGUGCCGGAGCUAACGCGUUAAGUGCACCGCCUGGGGAGUACGGCCGCAAGGUUAAAACUCAAAGAAAUUGACGGGGGCCCGCACAAGCGGAGGAGCAUGUGGCUUAAUUCGAUGCAACGCGAAGAACCUUACCAGGGCUUGACAUGGGGACCCUUCGGGGGUGGUAGCGAAAGUUACCUUUACCAUCACAGGUGCUGCAUGGCUGUCGUCAGUUCGUGCCGUGAGGUGUUGGGUUAAGUCCCGCAACGAACGCGACCCUUGUGUCUAAUUGCCACCGCAGGUGAUGAGCCUGCGAGCACUCUAGACAGACUGCCCGCUUACGCGGGAGGAAGGUGGGGACGACGUCAAGUCAGUAUGCCCUUACGCCCUGGGCUGCACACGUGCUACAAUGGCUGGUAUAGAAGGAUGCAAUAUCGCAAGGUGGAGCAAAUCCAUAAAACCAGCCUCAGUUCGGAUUGGAGUCUGAAACUCGACUCCAUGAAGUCGGAUUCGCUAGUAAUGGCGUAUCAGCUACGGCGCCGUGAAUACGUUCCCGGGCCUUGUACACACCGCCCGUCACAUCAUGAAAGCCGUCUGCACCCGAAGUCGCUGAUCCAACCUGCAAAGGAGGAAGGUGCCGAAGGUGUGGGUGGUGAUUGGGAUGAAGUCGUAACAAGGUA